GAUGAACGCUAGCGGCAGGCUUAACGCAUGCAAGUCGAGGGGUAGAGGCCUUCGGGACUUGAGACCGGCGCACGGGUGCGUAACGCGUGUGCAAUCUGCCUUCCACAGAGGGAUAGCCCAGAGAAAUUUGGAUUAAUACCUCAUAGCAUCAUGACCCGGCAUCGGGAUAUGAUUAAAGUCACAACGGUGGAAGAUGAGCAUGCGUCCCAUUAGCUAGUUGGUAAGGUAACGGCUUACCAAGGCUACGAUGGGUAGGGGUCCUGAGAGGGGAGAUCCCCCACCACUGGUACUGAGACACGGACCAGACUCCUACGGGAGGCAGCAGUGAGGAAUAUUGGUCAAUGGGCGCAAGCCUGAACCAGCCACGCCGCGUGCAGGAUGACGGUCCUAUGGAUUGUAAAACUGCUUUUGUACGGGAAGAAACCCUCCUACGUGUAGGAGCUUGACGGUACCGUAAGAAUAAGGAUCGGCUAACUCCGUGCCAGCAGCCGCGGUAAUACGGAGGAUCCAAGCGUUAUCCGGAAUCAUUGGGUUUAAAGGGUCCGUAGGCGGUCUUGUAAGUCAGUGGUGAAAGCCCAUCGCUCAACGGUGGAACGGCCAUUGAUACUGCUGGACUUGAAUUAUUGGGAAGCAACUAGAAUAUGUAGUGUAGC
rnacentral:rRNA from 1 species